rnacentral:siRNA from 1 species
AGGAUUAACCAGUUGGAGGUUCCU